rnacentral:rRNA from 1 species
UACGUAGGGUGCAAGCGUUGUCCGGAAUUAUUGGGCGUAAAGAGCUCGUAGGCGGUUCGUCGCGUCGGCUGUGAAAACCCGGAGCUCAACUCCGGGCCUGCAGUCGAUACGGGCGGACUAGAGUUCGGCAGGGGAGACUGGAAUUCCUGGUGUAGCGGUGAAAUGCGCAGAUAUCGGGAAGAACACCCAUGGCGAAGGCAGCUCUCUGGGACGGUACUGACGCUGAGGAGCGAAAGCGUGGGAGGCAACAGGAUUAAGAUACCCCUGACGUCC